rnacentral:rRNA from 1 species
AGAGUUUGAUCCUGGCUCAGGACGAACGCUGGCGGCGUGCCUAAUACAUGCAAGUCGAGCGAGCGGAACCAACAGAUUUACUUCGGUAAUGACGUUGGGAAAGCGAGCGGCGGAUGGGUGAGUAACACGUGGGGAACCUGCCCCUAAGUCUGGGAUACCAUUUGGAAACAGGUGCUAAUACCGGAUAAUAAAGCAGAUCGCAUGAUCAGCUUUUGAAAGGCGGCGUAAGCUGUCGCUAAGGGAUGGCCCCGCGGUGCAUUAGCUAGUUGGUAAGGUAACGGCUUACCAAGGCGACGAUGCAUAGCCGAGUUGAGAGACUGAUCGGCCACAUUGGGACUGAGACACGGCCCAAACUCCUACGGGAGGCAGCAGUAGGGAAUCUUCCACAAUGGACGCAAGUCUGAUGGAGCAACGCCGCGUGAGUGAAGAAGGUUUUCGGAUCGUAAAGCUCUGUUGUUGGUGAAGAAGGAUAGAGGUAGUAACUGGCCUUUAUUUGACGGUAAUCAACCAGAAAGUCACGGCUAACUACGUGCCAGCAGCCGCGGUAAUACGUAGGUGGCAAGCGUUGUCCGGAUUUAUUGGGCGUAAAGCGAGCGCAGGCGGAAAAAUAAGUCUAAUGUGGAAAGCCCUCGGCUUAACCGAGGAACUGCAUCGGAAACUGUUUUUUCUUGAGUGCAAAAGAGGAGAGUGGAACUCCAUG